AUGAACACACUUCCUGACCCACCACCUAUGAAAAAGGCUAGGACUUCUAAAGGCAGUGAUGAAGGUAAGGCUAAGAGAGGAAAAGAAACAGCGAUUGAAGAUCUGGUUGCUGUUAGAAAAGAAGAACUUAAAACUUAUGUGGAUGUAAAGACAAAACAAAUUGAAAGCUAUAGAGAAGUGAAAAUGGCACAGAUGGAAAAAAAAGGUCCUGACAAAGAUCCUUAUUGCAUUGCCAAUUGCAUUGUCAAACUUAAGACCAUACCAGAUCUCUCAGCAAGUGAUCAUCUGAAGAUGAUCGAGUAUCUGAAAGGACAAAGAAUUGACCGUGAAAUCUUCAUGACAGUGGAGCAUGAUGUUGUUCUAGAGAUCCUCAAGCAAUUCCUUUCCUAA
rnacentral:rRNA from 1 species